rnacentral:rRNA from 1 species
UGGUGGAGUGAUUUGUCUGGUUAAUUCCGUUAACGAACGAGACCUCAGCCUACUAAAUAGUUGUACGAACAUUUCUGUUCGUCGCAACUUCUUAGAGGGACAUUCGGUUUCUAGCCGAAGGAAGUUUGAGGCAAUAACA